AUUGAACGCUGGCGGCAGGCCUAACACAUGCAAGUCGAACGAGGGGCGGACGGGUGAGUAAUGUCUGGGAAUCUGCCUGAUAGAGGGGGAUAACUACUGGAAACGGUAGCUAAUACCGCAUACUAUCAGAUGUGCCCAUAUGGGAUUAGCUGGUUGGGGGGGUAACGGCUCACCAAGGCGACGAUCCCUAGCUGGUCUGAGAGGAUGACCAGCCACACUGGAACUGAGACACGGUCCAGACUCCUACGGGAGGCAGCAGUGGGGAAUAUUGCACAAUGGGCGCAAGCAUGAUGCAGCCAUGCCGCGUGUAUGAAGAAGGCCUUCGGGUUGUAAAGUACUUUCAGCGGGGAGGCGUUACCCGCAGAAGAAGCACCGGCUAACUCCGUGCCAGCCGCCGCGGUAAUUC
rnacentral:rRNA from 1 species